rnacentral:lncRNA from 1 species
AGGUAAAGAAGUCUUCAAGUGUCAUACUGUUCCACAUAUCCAACCACCAAUCAAUGUAACUUUUGUGGACGACUUCUGUACCGUCUAUUAAGCUUUGUACCAAGCCAUCAGACUCGUCAGUAUGGAGCUGAAAAGUGGAUCAUAAGUAACCUGAUGAGGAACAUAUUCAAACUAGUCCUAGCUGAAAAAUUAAAAUGUUCCAAAUGACAAAAGAAAUAAAAGACCGUUUAGAUUAUGAAAACUUCGAAAGCCAACAAGUUAUUGGCAUAGAAAACUCACAAUCACAGAUGCCCAUCUUCAAAACAAUCACGUCAAAACUCUCAAAACUAUAACCAAAUUAAGCAUCAAUUAGGUGGAGACGGUAUUCCUAACACCAAGCUUGGAAGGAAAAUUCAAAAACUAAACUACUGAUAAGCUGAUCAAGAACAUGAGAAGAGUACAUCCAAUGACAUGGACUGAGAACAGGAAACCCUAGCUAAAACUCCAGAAACAUCAGCAAACAGAAGGAAAUAAAACUUAUGAGGUCGAAAAUUCACAAGUGACAGUUAGAUGAAUUGGAGAAUUCACUGAGAUAUCAUAUGAUACAAUAACGUCAAAAUUCAAGCGAACCGAUAUCGCCGCCUCUCAAAACAACAACUGCACCACAGGAAAAGCCAAAGGUUAUACAGAAUCGCCAUUACCUCUAUCAAACGGACCACAAUUUCGAAUGCUCCGAAUCGGAGGAAGCUGUUUCGUGGUCCACCUUGGACAGCAACGAGUCAGCUGAGACUUAUUCCAGGUGGGCGAUUCUGGUAGUGAGACCGACUUCGUCUUAUAGACUCCUCAGGGCACCAAUGAGAGAGGUUUCAGCUAUGGCGAUGUCUUCACACAGUAGAGAAAAUUCCCUUUGGAACUUUGGCUUCGUCGAUAAACCAGAAGGAGAACCAGAGAGAGAGCCAACAGUUUCUUCCCUUCUUUCUCCUACUUCGCGUCUUCGUUCAUCGUUUUGUCACUUGGGAAUUUGGUAACCGCGCGUGAC